AAAGAAUUUGGCGGUGUUUUAUUCUUUUCAGAGGAACUUGCCCCGUUAUCGAUAGUCCCCGUUAUAUCUUACUUGAUUUAUUAGUAUGUAUACCGCCGUUAUAGGUUUAUUUUAUUAGAAUUUAAUUUACUAGUAUUUUUAUUAAAAUUUAUUUCAGGUCAAGGUGCAGCUUAUAAUUAAGUGGAGGUGAGUUACAAUAUUUUAAAUAAACGGAUUAAUUUUUUUAAAUUUUUUAUGAAGGUGGAUUUGUUAGUAAUUUUAUUUAUGUUUUUAUUUUGAUUUUAGCUCUAAAACAAGUACACAUCGCCC
rnacentral:rRNA from 1 species